CUUCAAAAUGGCGCUCGCUGUGCGUAGAAAGUAGUACUCGUGUAAACGUGUAAAAUUGGAGAUAGCAUAGAAGAAAACUGAAAGGGUUCGCGGUUCAACUUUUUUCUAACGGUUUCCUCAGCGUCCUUUACGAAGUUCAGUUGAUAUCGUGUCCACGUCCAGGGUGGAUCAGACCAGAUCUGCAAAUCUUGGAGCACUCGUCGUAUGCCAUUAAAAAAAUAAAGGGUUCGCGGUUCAACUUUUUCUAACGGUUUCCUCAGCGUCCUUUACGAAGUUCAGUUGAUAUCGUGUCCACGUCCAGGGUAGAUCAGACCAGAUCUGCAAAUCUUGGAGCACUCGUCGUAUGCCAUUAAAAAAAUUAAAACAUGCCUGUUAUAAAAAUUUGGUCUGUAGAUCAAAAAAUCAAAAAAGCGGUUCAAAUAAUGGACCCAACAAUAGAAAAUGUUAUUGAAAAUGCUUGCUUUUAGACUCUGCAAAAUUGAUGAGCUGCCCCAGGAGACUGCAAUGCCUGCACUGUAUCAAAUAGUAGCUAAUAACCUGCCACAAAACUUACAAAUGAAAGGAAUAUAUACGGAUCAAAGAUUUUUUUGAUUGAUGGCACAGAAAUAGAAGACAAUGAAGCUCUCAAAGAACUCCAAAAUGAGGUUAUACUUAUAGGGGAUAACUGGAAACCUGAUCAAAGCGAUAAUCAAAGUCGCACAGCAACAGCGUCUACAAUCACUGCUCCUAAUUCACCAACAACAAGCAUAAUUAGCAAUAACAGCGACACAAGCAUAAAUAGCUUUGCGUUUGACAUUCCCUAUAACAAACUUCCAUCGUCGCUUUUGACAAAAUUAAAUGAUUGUAAACCGAUUUCUAAUACCGAAGUCAACACUAUCGUGAGAACUGUAACAGAUGAACUCUUCCAGGAAACAAAAGCAUCAAGAUCAGCUUACAGAGUGGUUGCACGAGAUUUGUGUGACAAAUAUCCACAGCUUUAUGACAGAGAUGCUGAUACAAACGAACUCAUAGGAAUAGGCUACCACACCAUUUUUAAAAAAGUUGAAGAGAGAGUUCAUUAUCUACAAAGGCCGAAUAAAAUGGAUACCUUAGGAUCAAGAAAGAAAUCUCGAGUCGUUAAAAAUUUGAGUGCUGGCUGCAAAGAAUGGCAACCCAGUGAUCCUGGUAAUGUGGAUCUUGAAACUUUAGAUUCUAAAAAGGACUGGCUAAAAUCGGUUUCUUCCAUAAAGGAAAGAGAUGAAUCAAAAGUUGAAUUCUACAUGAACGAGACCUAUGCACAGCAAAGGAUAUUUCUGAACUCUGCACCUGCCGUAACACAUAUUCUUAACGAAUGGCCAGUAUUGUUAGAGGAGAAAUAUAUGAUUUCGCAUUUUGAUCGUCUUUGUGCCUUGAAUUCUGGCCAGUGUAUGGAUGCAUUUCAAAAUAAAACGACGGCAUUGAAUGAGCGGUUGAAAACUUUGAUCACGAAGAAAAAAAAAAAGACAUGCACUGUUAAUGACAAUAACUUGAAUUGUAACCUACAGAUGGUUGCAACUUAUUUCAAUGAAGAUAUAAAACACAUAUACCAAGCACAUGAGAAACCAUUAACCAGGGUUCAAGUUGCAGAGCUAUCCGAAAUAGCUGCGCCUAACAUUGUAUUUUUAGAUAAUGAAAAUAUAUAUUACUUGCUGGUAGAAAAAACGAUUGUUAGCGAAACUGCGAGUCUGUCUACGUCGUUACAACUACUGAUGGCGGCUUACUUCAACUUGAAUAUGGA